CNACAGACAACCUCGAGGUCCUGAAGCAGAUCAAUCACCCCUACUACUUCAUGACACCAAAUUUCUAUAUGUUCAUGUGGAUUUUCUUGGAUAUUCUUUCUGCAGUUUUCAUUGUUGCCAUAUUUUAUUCUAUUUGGUUGAGAGAAAGCCAGAGUGAAAAAAUCCUCCAAGGUAUCACCAGUUACACAGAAACUCCAAGUGUAAGAAGUCUCCAUGAAGAAGUUUUGAGAGUUGAAGAAACUCCUGGAGUUUAACCAAAAGUAAAAGGGAACAUCCAGGCUCUAAAUCCAUUAUAGCAGAGGCUCUCAAGGAAACCACUAAACCAACUAUGCAUCCCAAGGAGGAUGUUAGACAACCUGUGGCCACAUAGCUGGUCUCUGAACCCAUCCAAGCACCCACUUCAGAGGCCAACAGAGAGGCCACCCUCCAAACUGCAAACUGCAUUGCCUACCAUGAAAGCAAAUGAACCAACAAUUCCCUCCAUGGAAGACCCUCCUCCUGAAACAUAACCACCACCACCACCCCCACUGACUCCUCCCAGUAAUCCUCUUUUAUGAUGGUUUCUACAUCCAGAAUGCUCUUCUCCUUUGGGCUGUCUUCAAAGAAGAAUUAGCCACAACUUGCCUCCUCCUCUUUCUUCUUCCUCUCUGGGCCCAGGGUGAACUGAUGGUAGAGAGAGGUCAAGAAAGAAGUGCAGAAGAUCCAGGGAGGCUCUCAGGAAAACCAUUUUUGGUCUCACCUUCCAUCUCCAAGUGAUAAGCAAAGGGAAAAUCGUGUGAUCCUGAAGGGGAAGCUGUCCGCUCCCAGGUGAGACAGGAUUUGUCUCAUCCUAACCCUUCAUAAUAUUCCCCGCUCAAUGAGUAGCUGUGGUGAACAUCAGCAUGUAAAU